rnacentral:rRNA from 1 species
GGAAACUUGUGCUAAUACCGAAUAAGCCCUUACGGGGAAAGUUUUAACGCCGAAAGAUGAGCCUGCACUUGAUUAGCUAGUUGGUAAGGUAAAAGCUUACCAAGGCAACGAUCAAUAGCUGUUCUUAGAGGAAGACCAGCCACAUUGGGACUGAGACACGGCCCAGACUCCUACGGGAGGCAGCAGUGGGGAAUCUUGCACAAUGGGGGAAACCCUGAUGCAGCGAUGCCGCGUGAGUGAAGAAGGCCUUUGGGUUGUAAAACUCUUUCGUCGGGGAAGAAAAUGACUGUACCCGAAUAAGAAGGUCCGGCUAACUUCGUGCCAGCAGCCGCGGUAAUACGAAGGGACCUAGCGUAGUUCGGAAUUACUGGGCUUAAAGAGCUCGUAGGUGGUUAAAAAAGUUGAUGGUGAAAUCCCAAGGCUCAACCUUGGAACUGCCAUCAAAACUUUUUAGCUAGAGUGUGAUAGAGGUAAGUGGAAUUUCUAGUGUAGAGGUGAAAUUCGUAGAUAUUAGAAAGAACACCAAAUGCGAAGGC